UUUUAAGAAGAGACAGGAGUGAGCUCACCUUCUAUCUCUCUCCUCUUCAGUAAGUCAGGACACAGCAAGAAGAUGGCCAUCUGUGAACCAGAAGGAGAGCCCUCAGCAGAACCCAACCAUGCUGGUACCGAACCUUGGACUUCUCAGGCUUCAGACUGAAGAACACUGCUGACGGCUAACAUUUUUAGGUUGCAAGUGCCCUUGCCUUGAAGAUAUGGUAGCUGAUUGAGAACACAAAGUCAUCACC
rnacentral:lncRNA from 13 species